CCGACUUGUCGGGAAUCAUAGUGUCCAUCAUCCUUUCAUCACCAGGACAAUGCUCUAAUAAUGAAUAAUGAUGAUCAUCAUACUUCCAUUUACUUACAACUCAAUAUUACAACUCGAUACCUAGAAAAAAGUAUGAGUCUAUAUGAAUGCCUUUGACAGUGUACGAGGAUGUGCAAUGAUCUAUCAUAGCACAGACAUAAAGAACGGACAAGCCAUGGAAAUAUCAUGCACAGACAUAAAGAACGGUGUCGGG
rnacentral:lncRNA from 1 species